rnacentral:rRNA from 1 species
UACGUAGGGUGCAAGCGUUGUCCGGAAUUAUUGGGCGUAAAGAGCUCGUAGGCGGUCUGUCGCGUCGGAUGUGGAAAUCCAGGGCUCAACCCUGGACCUGCAUUCGAUACGGGCAGACUAGAGUUCGGUAGGGGAGACUGGAAUUCCUGGUGUAGCGGUGAAAUGCGCAGAUAUCAGGAGGAACACCGGUGGCGAAGGCGGGUCUCUGGGCCGAUACUGACGCUGAGGAGCGAAAGCGUGGGGAGCGAACAGG